rnacentral:rRNA from 1 species
GACGAACGCUGGCGGCGUGCUUAACACAUGCAAGUCGAGCGGUAAGGCCCUUUCGGGGGUACACGAGCGGCGAACGGGUAGAGUAACACGUGGGUGACCUGCCCUCAGCUCUGGGAUAAGCCUGGGAAACCGGGUCUAAUACUGGAUAUGACUCCAUGACGCAUGUUGUGGGGUGGAAAGCCUUGUGCGGCUGAGGAUGGGCCCGCGGCCUAUCAGCUUGUUGGUGGGGNGAUGGCCUACCAAGGCGACGACGGGUAGCCGGCCUGAGAGGGCGACCGGCCACACUGGGACUGAGACACGGCCCAGACUCCUACGGGAGGCAGCAGUGGGGAUCUUGCGCAAUGGGCGAAAGCCUGACGCAGCGACGCCGCGUGAGGGAUGACGGCCCUGGU